rnacentral:lncRNA from 1 species
UUUUUUAAAGACAGCAUAGUGGCUUGAUAAGCCACUGGAAAAAUGGGAGCACGAAUACAACACCAACUGAGUUAAUUCUGUCAUGCCCAUCCUCCUGCUUCUGCAGCAAGGUGAACAACGGCAAAUGGCUAAGUCUGAAAUGUCAGGCGGAGGUGUUCUGUACCAGCACGCGUGACCUCGAAUGGUGGGUGUGGUCUGAAGAGGGUGGAGAUGGUGGGGUGCGGUGGGUGGCAGACGACUCACCUGCCCCUGGUCCCUCUCCUGCCCUCAUGCAGACUCGCUCUCGUCAUAGAGGCGCUUUCUGCAAACGUGGCGAGGGGAGCACAGGGCACAGCACAGUUUCUAAGAUGCUGAACUUCCAAGCUGCUCGCCACUGGUGGAGAACCUGAGGCCAGGGCCCUGUCUCCCAGCACCACCCGCAGCGGACCACACCACGCGGAAGCCUGAUUUAUCCCGGCAGCCCCACUUCCGGGUGUGCUGGGCCUUUUCCAGGCUCUCCUGCCGGCGGCCCGGGGAGGGUUUCAGUCUGCGUGCCCGGAACUGGAGCUGGGUGUGAAUCGUGAGGCGCCUGACACCUAGAAGGCACUGGGCUGAGGAGAGGAGGAGGAAAGAAAGUGGAGGCCAGGCGGCCGGGACGGGACGCGGUCUCUCCUGGGACCUCUGCCGCCCAGGCGCCUCGGGCCACAGGGCAACCUCGCUGCUUUCCCCGUGCUGUUGCAGGACGAUCGCGUGCACAAGGAGGCGCCCUCGGCCGCCCGGGAACCCCAGGGCAGCCCGGGCCGCGGCGCCUCCGCAGUCUCCGUGUGCACUGGGGCUGCGGCCAGCAAGCGGCGGCGAACGUCCCGUGAGAACGGAAGAUGCUCGGUCGGGUUGGACCCGGCCUGGGCGCGAUGCCCCGGUUCCCUUCUGCCGCCACCGCCCCCCAACCCCGCCGCCGCCUGCGCGGCCUCGCCCGCCUCGCGGUCGCCAUGGCAACCUCCGCGUGCCGAGCUUUCUCCCGGUGUGAUCAGGCCCGGAACCGUCUGGAACCCGCAGUGCUGACCGUUUCCUGCCGGAAGGAAACGCUGCUGGCCGUCGGAUCUGGGUUCCCCGCCACCCUGCUGACUCCUUCGGCCUCGGGGGCUGUGGGGCUGCAAGCUCUCAGCCGGCCCGGCCCACGUCCUGCUAGCUGCGUCCUGGCUUCCCGCAGUCUCCAAACGUGAGUUUCCUCAUCUAUAAGAAUAUGUCAAGCAUCACAUGAAUUGAUCCAGUUGCCUCUUAAUAUCGGUGGCGGAUGAAUUCCAGAACUCCUAAUACCGAGCCCUGUGGACACCAAGUCCCUUUAAUAAGAUGGCAUAGCACUUACAUAUAACGUACAUAAUCCCCCCUAUACUUCAAAUCGCCUCUGGAUUACCUAUAAUAUCUAACACAGUGUAAAUGCUAUUAAAUACUUGUUAUAUUGUUUAAGGAAUAAUGACAAGAAAAUUUUUUUCACAUGUUCAGUAAAGAUGUAACUUUAAAAAUAUUUUAUUUACUCUUUGUUUGAAACCAUGGAUAUAGAACCCGCAGAUACAGUGCUUGCUAAGGUCUUAAAACAUACCUGGUACCUAGAAAAUGCUUAAUAAAUUAGUUAUUAUCACUUUUAUUGAAAACAAAUUAUUCACAUUUCUAUGCAACUCUCAUCUAAAUUUGUAGCUAC